AUCUCUUGUCAGUACUCUAUUCAGUAGAGUGAGCAAACAUGUGGCUAAACCUUGUGUCCUUAUUAGCAGUCCUCAAAGGAGUCCAAACUCAAGUACAGUUGGUAGAGUCUGGAGGGGAUGUGAGAAGACCAGGAGAAUUCCUCCAUCUCUCCUGCCAAGCCUCCGGAUUCACCUUUAGUAGCUACUAGAUAGUUUGGGUGAGACAGGCUCCAGGGAAAAGACUGGAAUGGGUGGCAUAUGUGAACACCGGUUCAAGCACUUACUACCCAGACAAAGUGAAGGGCCGCUUCACCAUCUCCAGGGACAAUGCCAAAAGCCAGCUGUAUAUGCAAA